rnacentral:lncRNA from 1 species
AUGCAUUGCUGUCAGGUGUUUUUUAAAGCUCUGUUUAAUAAAAACUACCUGCACUGCAAAAUGUAUGCUCAGUGGAAAAUUCUCCAAUUAACACUUAAUCAAGUGGCCCAACAGACCACUUUUCCUCCCAGCUGGCCUCCAGCUUUGAAGAUAAUCACUGGCACCCAGACAGGAAGUCCCAGGGCUCAGCCGUGGGUUGGGGGAUCUCCUGUAAAGCCACAGCAACAGCCCCGUCACCCUAUUCUAUACCUCCUGAUUUGCCUUGGAUGUGGCGGUCUUUAGAACACUGGGCCAAAUACUGUAAACCAUUGAGGGUUUGCCUUCUUGAAUGCUCAUGUGUGGGUACACGAUAAGAUCCUUGUUGCGAUGUCUUUGCUGUGUCUUUGCUGAGACCAGCAUGUCCCAGCGAAGUUAAGCUUGACCAAAACCCGAGAGCAUGUUAGCAUUUGCCGUGGGAUUGACAAGACAGAGCUGCACUUGGUGGUCUGCUGAAUCAUUCUACGUGUUGUCAUCUAAUGGAUCCUUCCAGGCUUGUUCAGAUGGUUGGAGGGUUGUGUUUGAGAAUGGUAAUUCCUGCUUCAAAUCCUGAAUGAUAACUCGUAUGUGUAUACAUUUCCUUCUAAGAGGGAAGAUCUGCCCUGUAGACGUUACUUCUAUACUCUUCAUUUUCCUUCUGUCAAACUCUAAAUAAUGUGGCCUACAAAACUGAAAAAGCAGCAAAAAUAAAAUGUCUUUUGGUAAUGAUUUCA